AGUGAACGCUGGCGGUAGGCCUAACACAUGCAAGUCGAACGGCAGCACGGUAAGAGCUUGCUCUUACGGGUGGCGAGUGGCGGACGGGUGAGGAAUACAUCGGAAUCUACUUUUUCGUGGGGGAUAACGUAGGGAAACUUACGCUAAUACCGCAUACGACCUACGGGUGAAAGCAAGGGAUCUUCGGACCUUGCGCGAUUGAAUGAGCCGAUGUCGGAUUAGCUAGUUGGCGGGGUAAAGGCCCACCAAGGCGACGAUCCGUAGCUGGUCUGAGAGGAUGAUCAGCCACACUGGAACUGAGACACGGUCCAGACUCCUACGGGAGGCAGCAGUGGGGAAUAUUGGACAAUGGGCGCAAGCCUGAUCCAGCCAUACCGCGUGGGUGAAGAAGGCCUUCGGGUUGUAAAGCCCUUUUGUUGGGAAAGAAAAGCAGCAGGUUAAUACCCCGCUGUUCUGACGGUACCCAAAGAAUAAGCACCGGCUAACUUCGUG
rnacentral:rRNA from 1 species